rnacentral:rRNA from 1 species
AUUGAACGCUGGCGGCAGGCUUAACACAUGCAAGUCGAGCGGAGAUGAGGUGCUUGCACCUUAUCUUAGCGGCGGACGGGUGAGUAAUGCUUAGGAAUCUGCCUAUUAGUGGGGGACAACAUUCCGAAAGGAAUGCUAAUACCGCAUACGCCCUACGGGGAAAGCAGGGGAUCUUCGGACCUUGCGCUAAUAGAUGAGCCUAAGUCGGAUUAGCUAGUUGGUGGGGUAAAGGCCUACCAAGGCGACGAUCUGUAGCGGGUCUGAGUGGAUGAUCCGCCACACUGGGACUGAGACACGGCCCAGACUCCUACGGGAGGCAGCAGUGGGGAAUAUUGGACAAUGGGCGGAAGCCUGAUCCAGCCAUGCCGCGUGUGUGAAGAAGGCCUUUUGGUUGUAAAGCACUUUAAGCGAGGAGGAGGCUACCUGGAUUAAUACUCUAGGAUAGUGGACGUUACUCGCAGAAUAAGCACCGGCUAACUCUGUGCCAGCCGCCGCCGUAAAAC